GGGUUGUGAGGUUAAGCGACUAAGCGUACACGGUGGAUGCCCUGGCAGUCAGAGGCGAUGAAGGACGUGCUAAUCUGCGAAAAGCGUCGGUAAGGUGAUAUGAACCGUUAUAACCGGCGAUGUCCGAAUGGGGAAACCCAGUGUGAUUCGUCACACUAUCGUUAACUGAAUACAUAGGUUAACGAGGCGAACCGGGGGAACUGAAACAUCUAAGUACCCCGAGGAAAAGAAAUCAACCGAGAUUCCCCCAGUAGCGGCGAGCGAACGGGGAGCAGCCCAGAGUCUGAAUCAGCUUGUGUGUUAGUGGAACGGUCUGGAAAGUCCGACGGUACAGGGUGAUAGUCCCGUACACCAAAAUGCACAGGCUGUGAACUCGAAGAGUAGGGCGGGACACGUGGUAUCCUGUCUGAAUAUGGGGGACCAUCCUCCAAGGCUAAAUACUCCUGACUGACCGAUAGUGAACCAGUACCGUGAGGGAAAGGCGAAAAGAACCCCGGCGAGGGGAGUGAAAAAGAACCUGAAACCGUGUACGUACAAGCAGUGGGAGCACCUUCGGGUGUGACUGCGUACCUUUUGUAUAAUGGGUCAGCGACUUAUAUUCUGUAGCAAGGUUAACCGUAUAGGGGAGCCGCAGGGAAACCGAGUCUUAACUGGGCGUUAAGUUGCAGGGUAUAGACCCGAAACCCGGUGAUCUAGCCAUGGGCAGGUUGAAGGUUGGGUAACACUAACUGGAGGACCGAACCGACUAAUGUUGAAAAAUUAGCGGAUGACUUGUGGCUGGGGGUGAAAGGCCAAUCAAACCGGGAGAUAGCUGGUUCUCCCCGAAAGCUAUUUAGGUAGCGCCUCGUGAAUUCAUCUUCGGGGGUAGAGCACUGUUUCGGCUAGGGGGUCAUCCCGACUUACCAACCCGAUGCAAACUACGAAUACCGAAGAAUGUUAUCACGGGAGACACACGGCGGGUGCUAACGUCCGUCGUGAAGAGGGAAACAACCCAGACCGCCAGCUAAGGUCCCAAAGUCAUGGUUAAGUGGGAAACGAUGUGGGAAGGCACAGACAGCCAGGAUGUUGGCUUAGAAGCAGCCAUCAUUUAAAGAAAGCGUAAUAGCUCACUGGUCGAGUCGGCCUGCGCGGAAGAUGUAACGGGGCUAAACCAUGCACCGAAGCUGCGGCAGCGACACUAUGUGUUGUUGGGUAGGGGAGCGUUCUGUAAGCCUGCGAAGGUGACCUGUGAGGGUUGCUGGAGGUAUCAGAAGUGCGAAUGCUGACAUAAGUAACGAUAAAGCGGGUGAAAAGCCCGCUCGCCGGAAGACCAAGGGUUCCUGUCCAACGUUAAUCGGGGCAGGGUGAGUCGACCCCUAAGGCGAGGCCGAAAGGCGUAGUCGAUGGGAAACAGGUUAAUAUUCCUGUACUUGGUGUUACUGCGAAGGGGGGACGGAGAAGGCUAUGUUAGCCGGGCGACGGUUGUCCCGGUUUAAGCAUGUAGGCUGGUUGUCCAGGCAAAUCCGGAUAAUCAAGGCUGAGGUGUGAUGACGAGGCACUACGGUGCUGAAGUAACAAAUGCCCUGCUUCCAGGAAAAGCCUCUAAGCAUCAGGUAACAUCAAAUCGUACCCCAAACCGACACAGGUGGUCAGGUAGAGAAUACCAAGGCGCUUGAGAGAACUCGGGUGAAGGAACUAGGCAAAAUGGUGCCGUAACUUCGGGAGAAGGCACGCUGGUGUGUAGGUGAAGUCCCUGCGGAUGGAGCUGAGACCAGUCGAAGAUACCAGCUGGCUGCAACUGUUUAUUAAAAACACAGCACUGUGCAAACACGAAAGUGGACGUAUACGGUGUGACGCCUGCCCGGUGCCGGAAGGUUAAUUGAUGGGGUUAUCCGUAAGGAGAAGCUCUUGAUCGAAGCCCCGGUAAACGGCGGCCGUAACUAUAACGGUCCUAAGGUAGCGAAAUUCCUUGUCGGGUAAGUUCCGACCUGCACGAAUGGCGUAAUGAUGGCCAGGCUGUCUCCACCCGAGACUCAGUGAAAUUGAACUCGCUGUGAAGAUGCAGUGUACCCGCGGCAAGACGGAAAGACCCCGUGAACCUUUACUAUAGCUUGACACUGAACAUUGAGCCUUGAUGUGUAGGAUAGGUGGGAGGCUUUGAAGCGUGGACGCCAGUCUGCGUGGAGCCAACCUUGAAAUACCACCCUUUAAUGUUUGAUGUUCUAACGUUGGCCCCUUACCGGGGUUGCGGACAGUGUCUGGUGGGUAGUUUGACUGGGGCGGUCUCCUCCCAAAGCGUAACGGAGGAGCACGAAGGUUAGCUAAUCCUGGUCGGACAUCAGGAGGUUAGUGCAAUGGCAUAAGCUAGCUUGACUGCGAGCGUGACGGCGCGAGCAGGUGCGAAAGCAGGUCAUAGUGAUCCGGUGGUUCUGAAUGGAAGGGCCAUCGCUCAACGGAUAAAAGGUACUCCGGGGAUAACAGGCUGAUACCGCCCAAGAGUUCAUAUCGACGGCGGUGUUUGGCACCUCGAUGUCGGCUCAUCACAUCCUGGGGCUGAAGUAGGUCCCAAGGGUAUGGCUGUUCGCCAUUUAAAGUGGUACGCGAGCUGGGUUUAGAACGUCGUGAGACAGUUCGGUCCCUAUCUGCCGUGGGCGCUGGAGAAUUGAGGGGGGCUGCUCCUAGUACGAGAGGACCGGAGUGGACGCAUCACUGGUGUUCGGGUUGUCAUGCCAAUGGCACUGCCCGGUAGCUAAAUGCGGAAGAGAUAAGUGCUGAAAGCAUCUAAGCACGAAACUUGCCCCGAGAUGAGUUCUCCCUGAGACUUUAAGUCUCCUGAAGGAACGUUGAAGACGACGACGUUGAUAGGCCGGGUGUGUAAGCGCAGCGAUGCGUUGAGCUAACCGGUACUAAUGAACCGUGAGGCUUAACCUUACAACGCCGAAG
rnacentral:rRNA from 1 species